GACGAACGCUGGCGGCGUGCUUAACACAUGCAAGUCGAACGGAAAGGCCCUGCUUUUGUGGGGUGCUCGAGUGGCGAACGGGUGAGUAACACGUGAGUAACCUGCCCUUGACUUUGGGAUAACUUCAGGAAACUGGGGCUAAUACCGGAUAGGAGCUCCUGCUGCAUGGUGGGGGUUGGAAAGUUUCGGCGGUUGGGGAUGGACUCGCGGCUUAUCAGCUUGUUGGUGGGGUAGUGGCUUACCAAGGCUUUGACGGGUAGCCGGCCUGAGAGGGUGACCGGCCACAUUGGGACUGAGCUACGGCACAGACUCCUACGGGAGGCAGCAGUGGGGAAGAUUGCACAAUGGGCGGAAGCCUGAUGCAGCAACGCCGCGUGCGGGAUGACGGCCUUCGGGUUGUAAACCGCUUUCGCCUGUGACGAAGCGUGAGUGACGGUAAUGGGUAAAGAAGCACCGGCUAACUACGUG
rnacentral:rRNA from 1 species